GUGUGGUUGGUUGGUGGUUGAUGGCGUUCUAUAAGUUACAAUUCACCCAUUCAUUCCCCGCACA